rnacentral:rRNA from 2 species
AUGGGCGCAAGCCUGAUGCAGCCAUGCCGCGUAUGAAGAAGGCCUUCGGGUUGUAAAGUACUUUCAGCGGGGAGGAAGGCGAUAAGGUUAAUAACCUUGUCGAUCGACGUUACCCGCAGAAGAAGCACCGGCUAACUCCGUGCCAGCAGCCGCGGUAAUACGGAGGGUGCAAGCGUUAAUCGGAAUUACUGGGCGUAAAGCGCACGCAGGCGGUCUGUCAAGUCGGAUGUGAAAUCCCCGGGCUCAACCUGGGAACUGCAUUCGAAACUGGCAGGCUAGAGUCUUGUAGAGGGGGGUAGAAUUCCAGGUGUAGCGGUGAAAUGCGUAGAGAUCUGGAGGAAUACCGGUGGCGAAGGCGGCCCCCUGGACAAAGACUGACGCUCAGGUGCGAAAGCGUGGGGAGCAAACA